rnacentral:rRNA from 1 species
UAACGGCUCACCAGGCGACGAUCCCUAGCUGGUCUGAGAGGAUGACCAGCCACACUGGAACUGAGACACGGUCCAGACUCCUACGGGAGGCAGCAUG